AAUGAACGCUGGCGGCGUGCCUAAUACAUGCAAGUCGAGCGACCGGACGAUAAGCUCUCUUCUCUGCUGUUAGCGGCUGACGGACGGGUAACGCGUAGAUAACCUACUUCUAUUACGUGGAUAACUACGUGAAACCGCAGCUAAUACUGGCUAAUAUUAUGAACCGCAUGGUUCAAAAGUUAAACACGGUCUUGCUGUCUCUAAUAGCUGGAUCCGCGCUGCAUUAGCUAGUUGGUAAGGUAACGGCUUACCAAGGCAACGAUGCAUAGCCGACCUGAGAGGAUGAUCAGCCACACUGGAACUGAGACACGGUCCAGACUCCUACGGGAGGCAGCAGUGGGGAAUAUUGGACAAUGGGCGAAAGCCUGAUGGAGCAAUGCCGCGUGAGUGAAGAAGGCCUUCGGAUUGUAAAGCCCUUUUGUUGGGAAAGAAAAUAAGUAGGUGAAACCGUCGAUAUUUUGACGGUACCUAAAGAAUAAGCCACGGCUAACUUCGUG
rnacentral:rRNA from 1 species